CCUACGGGAGGCAGCAGUGAGGAAUAUUGGUCAAUGGACGAGAGUCUGAACCAGCCAAGUAGCGUGAAGGAUGACUGCCCUAUGGGUUGUAAACUUCUUUUAUAUGGGAAUAAAACGUUCCACGUGUGGGAUUUUGUAUGUACCAUAUGAAUAAGGAUCGGCUAGCGCCGUGCCAGCCGCCCCGGUAAUACGGAGGGUCCGGUCGUUAUCCGGAUUUAUUGGGUUUAAAGGGAGCGUAGGUGGUUUGUUAAGUCAGUUGUGAAAGUUUGUGGCUCAACCGUAGAACUGCAGUUGAGACUGGCAGUCUUGAGUACAGUAGAGGUGGGCGGAAUUCGAGGUGUAGCGGUGAAAUGCGUAGAUAUCACGAAGAACUCCGAGUGCGAAGGCAGCUCACUGGACUGCAACUGACACUGAGGCUCGAAAGUGUGGGUAGCAAACAGGAUUAGAUACCCCAGUAGUC
rnacentral:rRNA from 1 species